CAUAAAGUAGACAGCACUACUAAACUUCUCUACACAGUGUAGUGUUUCCUACUUUAUGGA
rnacentral:pre_miRNA from 3 species